GCCGGUUUCAACAUACUAAAUCCAGGGUAAACCAGAGGAAGGCGGGCUGUCCGUAAGCAAAAACGGUCAAAACAGAUUUUAAAACUCCUGCAAUUCUCUCUCCGGGUUUUGGCUACGCGGCUGCUGCAAAGUUUACAUCUCAAAGUGGCAAGCAGGGACGUUGCACUAGUACGUGCUCCCCUGCACGAGGCCAGGGCCCGCUAAAUUCUGAGCGGAACCCAAGUUGCCAGGGCGAUGACUCCUUUCGACCUGCACGUAGCGGCCUCUGUGCCCGCCCCUCAUGACGUCACGCUCUGCCGUGCGGCCCCGCCUCCA